GAAGUCAAAGGAGUUAUGGAAACAUUGAAAAGGUCUGGACCGUGGUGAGAAAAUUGAGCUUUUGGUGGGUAAAACUGAAAACCUUCGCUCUCAGGCACAAGAUUUCAGGCAGCAGGGAACCUAGAUGAGGAGAAAGAUGUGGUUACAGAACAUGAAAUUAAAGCUGAUAGUUCUGGGAAUUCUGAUCGCCUUGAUUCUUAUGUGCUGUCCGUUUGUCAUGGCUUCAAA